rnacentral:rRNA from 1 species
AUUGAACGCUGGCGGCAGGCUUAACACAUGCAAGUCGAGCGGAGAUGAGGUGCUUGCACCUUAUCUUAGCGGCGGACGGGUGAGUAAUGCUUAGGAAUCUGCCUAUUAGUGGGGGACAACAUUCCGAAAGGAAUGCCAAUACUGCAUACGUCCUACGGGAGAAAGCAGGGGAUCUUCGGACCUUGCGCUAAUAGAUGAGCCUAAGUCGGAUUAGCUAGUUGGUGGGGUAAAGGCCUACCAAGGCGACGAUCUGUAGCGGGUCUGAGAGGAUGAUCCGCCACACUGGGACUGAGACACGGCCCAGACUCCUACGGGAGGCAGCAGUGGGGAAUAUUGGACAAUGGGGGAAACCCUGAUCCAGCCAUGCCGCGUGUGUGAAGAAGGCCUUAUGGUUGUAAAGCACUUUAAGCGAGGAGGAGGCUACUGAGACUAAUACUCUUGGAUAGUGGACGUUACUCGCAGAAUAAGCACCGGCUAACUCUGUGCCAGCAGCCGCCGUAA